GUGCUCGCCUCGGCAGCACGUAUGCGAAAAUUGGAGCAACACAGAGAAGAUUAGCACGGCCCUUGCACGAGGAUCACGGGCAAAUUUGGGAAGUGUUCCAUGUUUUU